rnacentral:rRNA from 1 species
GACGAACGCUGGCGGCGUGCUUAACACAUGCAAGUCGAACGGUGAUGGAGAGCUUGCUCUCCGGAUCAGUGGCGAACGGGUGAGUAACACGUGAGUAACCUGCCCCGGACUCUGGGAUAAGCGUUGGAAACGACGUCUAAUACCGGAUAGGACUUCCUUCGGCAUCGGAGGGGGUGGAAAGAAUUUCGGUUCGGGAUGGACUCGCGGCCUAUCAGCUUGUUGGUGAGGUAAUGGCUCACCAAGGCGACGACGGGUAGCCGGCCUGAGAGGGUGACCGGCCACACUGGGACUGAGACACGGCCCAGACUCCUACGGGAGGCAGCAGUGGGGAAUAUUGCACAAUGGGCGCAAGCCUGAUGCAGCAACGCCGCGUGAGGGAUGACGGCCUUCGAGUUGUAAACCUCUUUUGGCAGGGAAGAAGCGAGAGUGACGGUACCUGCAGAAAAAGCACCGGCUAACUACGUGCCAGCCGCCGCAGUAACAC